AGUCAGCGAGGGCGUGGUCGAUGUGCGCCCGGGCGAUGGCAGCGUGCAGCGCCUGCGCGCCGGGCAGGUGCGGGCGUUCCGUGACGGGCGCUGGCUGC
rnacentral:tRNA from 1 species